CAGCCAUCUUCAUCUCCGCCUCCUCCCCAAAGUGUUAUUUUUCCUCGCUCCUCCCGAAGCUCCGCCAUGCCAACCUCGAUCUCCGCCGCCACCUCCCACCCCUACCUCUGCGGUGGUCCUGCGCCUUCUCUACCCCGACCUACGGCGGCUCUCCCCCCAUCUCGAUCUCUGCUCCCAUCUCGAUCUCUGCUGAUGGUCCUGCGUCCUCACCACCCUAACCUCGGGAGAAGCUCCUUCGACCCACUUCCUUCCCCGACCUCCGCUGCGCUCCGGCGUUCUUCACCGUGGUGACGCCCCAAUCCAUGCCGGGUGCCGGUUGUACAUGCUGGAUUAGGAGGUUUGUACAUGUACGUGUAUAUAUAUGUUCAAGUCGAGCUUCGUGAAUAUGAAGGCCUGUAUGAUCAAGAAUCUAUUGCCAUCAAUUGAAUCUCACAUGCGUGUGCUAGGUGCUGGAAGAAAUACUUCUCUUUUAGUUUAUAUGGAUGUGCUUACGUAUAUAUGUACUGGCACAUCUAGCCGGAACAUGAUUGGGAUGUCAGUUUCGCUACUACGCGCCUGUGUCUUCGUGCCAUAUACUUGGAGUAUAUAUCUAGCAUAUCAAGCCACCAGAGACAAGCAAUACUUCGUUGAGACAAUAACAACAAUAUGAUCGUUUUGUUGUUAUUGAUGUGGUUGGCACUCACCAUAGCAUGCAUGCCUUGUGGCUAUAUAGCAAGUUAAGGUGCCUAUGGGGGCUGCAAAAAUGGAGGGCGUCGCCGACUCGGAUGUUAUGUCCUGCUUAAGCAUGUCAGUAAUGGGUGUCGGGCAUGGACUCCACAUGGAACGCUCUCUUUGCCACAUAAGCGAUGGCCUCAAGCCCCUAUAUGGAAGUAUCCAGUCUCGUUGUUCUACCAUUUCUCUAGAACAAUAUGUACAACUUCGACGGAACACCGACCGCCAGUGCUCCACCUGAGGUACACCAUUGUACAAUCCACAUGCCAAACCAUGAGUAAAGUAGCAAGCUAUUAUGUUUCAAAUUUUGUUUAGAAGAGCACGUGUUUUGGGCUUUAUACUUCCGUCGUGAUCUUUUACUGUGUUCCUCCAACCAUAGCUUCUAUGGUCAUUAACUUGCCAUAUACGGAUAGUCUGCAAAGUUUGCAAACAAGAGUGAAACCAAUAAUGAUGAUUGAUGAUUAUGGUAUGAUUGUCGGAUUAAUAAUUCAGUGGAAGAAAGCUAUUUUACUGGAAAAGAUAAAUCCAAAUUAAACAUAGUACGAAUGUACUUCACCUGUAAAUUUUUCUUAUCAUUCUAUCAUUCCAAAGGUUAUAUAAGCCACAAAAUCACACUGCUGGUCACACUACUAACAGCAGGUCCAAAUGAAACCCGAGAAAUUAAAUUGAAAUCUUGGUGACUGCAACAGUUAGGCAUGUAGUAUGCAAGUUUAGAGAUGGAUAUACCAAGUUUACUAUGAACGAAAACAUGUCAGCUUUGACAAACAACACACAUUUAUAUUAAUUCGGCAGUUCAUUAGAUAUGAUCUGCAAGAGUUGGCUGUGAUGUAUAUGUUCUGUAUCAGCGCACGGGUAGUUUUAAUCUAUCAUUUUUGCCAUUUAGUAAAUUCAAGCCCUUAAUAUGAUGCUCUGAAUAUCAUACAGAGUUAGUUUCAUAUUGAUAGUGCAUAUCACAGUGAUUUUUAUAACUGAAGUUGAUCAUAAUCAUUGUGUACAGAGCAUUCUAAUGUGGCGUUCAGUAAAUUACAGAAAAUGGAAGUAUGCCUAUUUUGUAACAUAUUGUAGUAAGGUAGCGCCACUUCCAAGAAUCAAAUGCAUUUUAUGUCCGGGCAAGUUUUUCCUUAAAUGUAUACUACAAAGGGAUCAGUACUAAUUAAUUGGCAAUUUACUAUGUGUCCUUAACUUCUUAUACAGAAUACAUCUCAUGCCUUUGCAGAAUAAACUUCUCACAAGUGAAAUUACUUCUGGUGUUCCAAUGUAGCUAGAUUGUAGAGAAACAUGAUAGCAUCUUAAUAAUCUAGUAAGGUAUUUGUCGAGCUCCCAUUGCAUAAUAUAGAGAAACCACAGAGCUUUUUCUUUAAUUCAUCGAAAAUUGUUUCGCUUCCAGUAUGUAAUUUGUACAAAAAUCAUGAAGUGCUUAUGCAUGCUUGCCUUUUGUUGACAACAUAAUUUUUUAAGUAAAGUAAAGGACAUGUAUUUUCUAAUCACAAUGGUGCAUCCAGUGGAUAAAGGUGUGUACUAUGAUAAAUCUGUACUCCAGACUAUUAUUUUCGUUUGUGAAGAACAGACAAAAUGAGUAAAGCCCGUGGCAGCCAACCAAUUUUGUUACCUGCUCGGAGGAAUGCAGGAGUUUUGUAUAAAUUUCAUCCUAAUGUAGAAUAUUUAUCUAUACAUGUGUUUCUGGUGGAAACUAACACAUUUUAUGCCUAAUUUGUACAUCUCACUGCAAGUCUGAUAUAACAUAGAACACUAAUUAAUCAUAUUCUCUUCAGACUGCAUGCAUUCAUUCUAUAUGUAUUUCGUACAUAUCUAAUGCUGUAGAAGAACUCUUUAGAAUCAUUGGACUCGAAGUCGUCCAUGCCAAUGUAAUUUACGCCAACAUGAUGUUUGUACCAGAAAGGAUCAUGCGUGCUUUCUCCUACCGAUUAUAGCUUGCUAUUGUCACUGAUGUAAAAUUAAAUCUUCAUGGCAUGCGCCUCUUGCUUCCCACUGUUGCAUCCAUUUUGAGAAAAGCUAUGGAAAGGAUAUCAUUGAUAUAUGUAUCUUUUUUUAAGCAACUACCGCUGAUAUAACUAUGACAGAUAGUUCGUGCAUUGCUACUUUGGUAGCCAGACUUUAAUAAAAGGACCAAAAUCUAUAUUUUUAAAAAUUAAGCUAAUCUUUACUAAUCAGUUCUUUUGUUUUACUUUAUAGAUUGUAAACCAGUUUUUUAAUGGGGCCAGAUUUUUGGUUGGAAGGAAGAAACUACACUCGCUGGGAGGAUUUGGUGGUAAUUUACAAGGUCGUGCAUCAUUUUUCAUGUAACUGGUAGUGGCGACCCAAGUCACAUGUUAGAAUGGAUGUUACUACAACAUUUCCGUCUAAACGUAUGACACUAUGAUCUUUGCAUAUAUAGUGCACUCCCCCAGUAAAUAAAUAUAAGACGUUUUAUAGAUCACUAAAGUAGUGACCUAAAACUUCUUAUAUUUUUGUAGGAGUGAGUAAUAUGUUCCUACUAUUAUAUGUUUUUGUCAUUAUUAUGAGAAGAGAUUAAUUAGCAUCUCUGA